GGCGCUAUAGUGUAGUGGUUAUCACUUGAGAUUCUGAUAUUAAUUUCUCAAAACCCAGGUUCGAGCCCUGGUAGCGCCU